rnacentral:rRNA from 1 species
UACAGAGGGGGCAAGCGUUGUUCGGAAUUACUGGGCGUAAAGAGCGCGCAGGCGGUCGUUCAAGUCGCGUGUGAAAGCCCCCGGCUCAACUGGGGAGGGUCACGCGAUACUGAUCGACUCGAAGGCAGGAGAGGGUAGUGGAAUUCCCGGUGUAGUGGUGAAAUGCGUAGAUAUCGGGAGGAACACCAGUGGCGAAGGCGACUACCUGGCCUGUUUCUUGACGCUGAGGCGCGAAAGCUAGGGGAGCAAACGGG